AUACGGGGGGUGCAGGCGUUAUUCGGAUUUAUUGGGCGUAAAGAGCGCGUAGGCGGCUUGGUAAGUCAGAUGUGAAAGCCCGGGGCUCAACCCCGGAAGUGCAUUUGAAACUAUCGGGCUUGAGUAUGGGAGAGGGAAGUGGAAUUCCUGGUGUAGAGGUGAAAUUCGUAGAUAUCAGGAGGAACACCGGUGGCGAAGGCGACUUCCUGGACCAAUACUGACGCUGAGGCGCGAAGGCGUGGGGAGCAAACAGGAUUAGAAACCCUAGUAGUCC
rnacentral:rRNA from 1 species